rnacentral:rRNA from 1 species
UGGUGGAGUGAUUUGUCUGGUUAAUUCCGUUAACGAACGAGACCUCGACCUGCUAAAUAGUUCUUGCCAUCUUACGAUGGCUGGAUACUUCUUAGAGGGACUAUCGGUGGUUAGCCGAUGGAAGUUCGAGGCAAUAACA